rnacentral:rRNA from 1 species
CACACCGCCCGUCACACCAUGGAAGUCUGUUGCACCAGAAGUCGGUAGUCUAACCGCAAGGAGGGCGCCGACCACGGUGUGGCCGAUGACUGGGGUG